GUGAUUUUCAGCCUGUACAACUAUGCCUCCAGCCGCCGAGAGGCCUAUCUCCUGCUCCAGCUGUUCAAGACAGCACUCCAGGAGGAAAUCAAGUAGGCUCUCCAGACACAAAGGAAUGGGGAGAGAAUGGGUUAAGAGAUGCCCCUGUUGGCUCCUUCACAAGGUGACAACUUGUUGAGGCUUAAGGGUAGAAAUGGAAUCAGAAGACCUCUUUUCUCUACCUCCUGUGGAGAAACCGUAAAACAUCUGGGAGAGCACAGUGGGAGGAUAUGGGCUGACAUGCUAACACAAAGGAUGAGAGAGAUAUCAAGACAUUCCUUAAGAGCGGGGACACCAGGGCAGGCUUUGAGAGCCAAAAUCUCAAAAAGGAAAAGCAACGGUAUGUCCUACACAGAGGCAGAAGACUGGUUUCAAUGACCUCUUAAACCACAGGUCAAAGGUGGAGCAGCCCCAGGACGUGGUGACAGGCAACCCAACAGUGGUGAGGCUGGUGGUGAGAUUCUACCGUAAUGGGCGGGGACAGAGUGCCCUGCAGGAGAUUCUGGGCAAGGUUAUCCAGGAUGUGCUAGAAGACAAAGUGCUCAGCGUCCACACAGACCCUGUCCACCUCUAUAAGAAUUGGAUCAACCAGACUGAGGCCCAGACAGGGCAGCGCAGCCAUCUCCCAUAUGAUGUCACCCCGGAGCAGGCCUUGAGCCACCCCGAGGUCCAGAGACGACUGGACAUCGCCCUACGCAACCUCCUCGCCAUGACUGAUAAGUUCCUUUUAGCCAUCACCUCAUCUGUGGACCAAAUUCCGUAUG
rnacentral:sRNA from 1 species